rnacentral:rRNA from 1 species
UACGUAUGGGGCGAGCGUUGUUCGGAAUUAUUGGGCGUAAAGGGCGUGUAGGCGGCGUGGCAAGCUUGGUGUGAAAUUUCACGGCUUAACCGUGGAUGUGCGCUGAGAACUGCCAUGCUUGAGUAUUCGGGAGGAAGAUGGAAUUCCUGGUGUAGGGGUGAAAUCUGUAGAUAUCAGGAAGAACACCGAUGGCGAAGGCAAUCUUCUAUCGAGAUACUGACGCUGAGGCGCGAAAGCGUGGGGAG